rnacentral:rRNA from 1 species
GACGAACGCUGGCGGCGUGCUUAACACAUGCAAGUCGAACGAAGUGGCGAACGGGUGAGUAACGCGUAAUCAACAUGCCCUUCAGAGGGGGACAACAGUUGGACACGACUGCUAAUACCCCAUACUGAUGGAGGGGAUUGCGUGUGAUUGGCGAGUUGGAGGGGUAACGGCCAACCAAGGCGAGGAUCAGUAGACGGUCGGAGAGGGUGAACCGUCAAAUUGGGACUGGGACACGGGCCAGAAUCCUACGGGGGGCAUCAGUGGGGAAUCUUCCGCAAUGGACGAAAGUCUGACGGAGCAACGCCGCGUGAGUGAUGACGGCCUUCGGGUUGUAAAGCGCUGUUAAUCGGGACGCGGUACCGGAAUAGAAAGCCACGGCUAACUACGUGCCAGCAGCCGCGGUAAUUC